rnacentral:misc_RNA from 1 species
AGUGGAGCUAAACUCAGAAGAUGCCGCAUCGGAAAAAUUUUCUGAAGCAGCUGCAGAGGCUGAUUUAGUUGAGAAUGAAACAGACAAGGCUGCUUUAGAUCCUGAUCCUUGUAAUAUCGGUGAUGAAAAUGAUUCAGAGAAAAACCAAAUGUUGGUUGAUGAUGGGAUUCCAUCUGCAAAGGCUGUAGGGAAGAGAAAGUUACAAAUUCAAGGCAAAUGGAAAGGAGUUGACCCAGUUAUUUUAUUCAAAGAUGAAGCCACUAUCAAUAGCAUAAAGGAAUUUUAUGGUAUUGAUGAAUCAUUUCCAUUCAGUGGUCACCUAAUCUUGAGAAACAGUGACACUAAUCAUGUGAAGAGAAUUUACUAUAUUUCAAAAUCAGUCAAGGAUAUUCUAGAGCUGAAUCUCCUUGUUG